rnacentral:rRNA from 1 species
GUGCCAGCAGCCGCGGUAAGACAUAGGUGGCAAACGUUAUCCGGAUUUAUUGGGCGUAAAGGGUGCGUAGAUGUUAUUGAAAGUUAGUGGUUAAAUUGGGACUCAACUCCAAGGAAGCUGUUAAUACUACAAUAAUAGAGGACGGAGGAAGUUGAUGGAACUCCAUGUGGAGCGGUGAAAUGCAUAGAUAUAUGGAAGAACAUCGAAGGCGAAGGCAAUCAACUAUUCUGUUCCUGACAUUGAGGCACGAAAGCGUGGGGAGCAAAACGGAUUAGAAACCCCCGUAGUCC